rnacentral:rRNA from 1 species
UGCAGAAUCCCGUGAAUCAUCGAGUUUUUGAACGCAAGUUGCGCCUUAGGCCUUCUGGCCAAGGGCACGCCUGCCUGGGCGUCACCG